rnacentral:misc_RNA from 1 species
UUAACUUAUUUGUUUGUGACUCAGACAAUAUAAAAAUCAAGAGUUUAGGGUCCUCUGGCAGGCGCAGACCAGCCUAGGCCAGUGGUCAUAAGACGGGCCUGCCAAAGCAACAAAGGUAAUAUAAACAAAGGGUGGGAGAUCUACCCCGGAGGGCAAUUUCUCUGUAAUGAUCCUUCCGCAGGUUCACCUACGGAAA